rnacentral:tRNA from 2 species
GGGGGUGUAGCUCAGCUGGUUAGAGUGCCGGCCUGUCACGCCGGAGGUCGCGGGUUCGAGCCCCGUCACUCCCGCCA